rnacentral:rRNA from 1 species
AGCUCCAAUAGCGUAUAUUAAAGUUGCUGCAGUUAAAAAGCUCGUAGUUGGAUUUGUGGCGCGGCCGUCCGGCGGGGGUCCUUCUAUGGUCUCGUUUGUCCUGGUUUUCGGCCGCUCCUUUCUCGGGUAGAGCGUAAUGGCUGGCAUUAGGUUGUCGGCCGCUUCGCGCCCGUCGUUUACUGUGAACAAAUUAGAGUGUUCAAAGCAGGCCAAUGCUGUGAAUACAUUAGCAUGGAAUAAUAGAAUAGGACUUUGGUUUUAUUUUGUUGGUUUCUGAGACCGAAGUAAUGAUUAAUAGGGAUAGUUGGGGGCACUCGUAUUUCAUUGUCAGAGGUGAAAUUCUUGGAUUUAUGAAAGACGAACAGCUGCGAAAGCGUUUGCCAAGGAUGUUUUCACUGAU